UACAGAGGGUGCUAGCGUUGUUCGGAAUCAUUGGGCGUAAAGGGCGUGUAGGCGGUUUGUUAAGUCAUGUGUGAAAUCCCACGGCUCACCCGUGGAACUGCUGGGCAUACUGGGCGUCUUGGGCCAACUAGGGGCAGCCGGAACAAGCGGUGGAGCGGUGAAAUGCGUAGAUAUCGCUUGGAACGCCGAAGGUGAAAACAGGCUGCUGGGGUUGCGCCGACGCUGAGACACGAAAGCCAGGGGAGCAAACGGG
rnacentral:rRNA from 1 species